GAUGAACGCUAGCGGCAGGCUUAAUACAUGCAAGUCGAGGGGUAACAUGGGUAGCAAUACCUGAUGACGACCGGCAAACGGGUGCGGAACACGUACGCAACCUUCCCAUAACUGGUGAAUAGCCUUUCGAAAGAGAGAUUAAUACACCGUAACAUAAUGAAGAGGCAUCUCUUUAUUAUUAUAGGCUUCGGCCGGUUUUGGAUGGGCGUGCGCCUGAUUAGGUAGUUGGCGGGGUAACGGCCCACCAAGCCUACGAUCAGUAACUGGUGUGAGAGCACGACCAGUCACACGGGCACUGAGACACGGGCCCGACUCCUACGGGAGGCAGCAGUAAGGAAUAUUGGUCAAUGGACGAAAGUCUGAACCAGCCAUGCCGCGUGAAGGAUGAAGGCCCUCUGGGUUGUAAACUUCUUUUAUCUGGGACGAAAAAGGGACUUUCUAGCUCACUUGACGGUACCAGAGGAAUAAGCACCGGCUAACUCCGUGCCAGCCGCCGCGGUAAG
rnacentral:rRNA from 1 species